GGUACAAAUUAAAAGUUCGACUUCCUCUGCUUCCACUUCACUCUGAUCGUCCGCAGCUUCUGCCUAAUUCAGCGGGGCUUCAACCCACUGCUGGGCUACCAGACCCUCUUCCUGCGGGGGUUCCGGCCCGGCGCACGGCUCUUCACUCCCCGGGAAGCCGGUUUCUCCCCUCCUCCAGUAUAAUCCCACGGGGCAUAAUUCACGUUGUCCAGGGCCAGGCUGCCCAUACUUGUGCCCCGCCCCCCCUUGGACAGUGACACACAACGGGCUCCAGUGUCUCCAGGGGCUGGACCUGGUAAUGUCAGACUGCUUAUUUCUAGUAUUACCAAUGCUGCCUUACAUGGCUCCCGUGAAUUGUGGCUUAGGUGUACUCACUGCUCUGAAGUACAGAGUCCAAUUGAUGGUGCAGCCCAGAAUUGUCAUCCAAAUGAUGUUAUCUAGGAAAGGUCAUAUACGUUCCAGAGAUGCAGGAGCCAAGGAAGGAAGAAAAGCAGCCUAAGAAUAAAGGGCCUCAGACCACAGAAGGGCAGACAGAAGAGUGCCUCAUAAAAUAAAUAGUGUGCCCCAGGAGGUUCUUCAAAAAAAUUAAUGAGAAGUAUUACAAAGAGGCUUUACUCUCUUCCCCACUAAACACACACAAAUCAGAAACAGACCUAUCAAGAACUGAUCUCCCUUUUUACAGAAAUAAGAUACUCCCUCUUUGUGUUGGGUCUGUGGCCCCUCCCCCCUGCACAAUGAGAUGCAGAGUGGAGCAAAUAAGUUAAAUGAGACAGGAAAUCCCUAAACAGAAAGGAUGGUGAGGAGCUAUUACAUUCACAGUGGGAAAACAAUAUCACAUUUUAUACAUUUGUUCCUACAUUGGCAGAUUACUAUAUUAUGAAGUAUGGCCCAAUGGAGGGGUGGCUUUUUCAGGAGACCAUUCUUGUAAAGCAUACAGAGAUACGGAUAAUACACUGAUUUCUGUAAAGACACCUAGGGACUGAAAGCAACAGUGCAAGGCUAUAUCAUUCAUUACGCUCUCAAAAUACAAAAAGGUGGAAAGCGACUGCCCCGUCAGGCUCUCUCCUUACCAGGGCCGCCCAGAGGAUUCAGGGGGCCUGGAGUCUUUGGCAGCGGGGGGGCCCCCGCUUCAGCAGUAAUUCGGCG